rnacentral:RNase_P_RNA from 1 species
GGAGUCGGCCGGACAGCCGCGCCGCCUGCGGGCGGGGAGGAAAGUCCGGGCUCCACAGGGCAGGGUGCCAGGUAACGCCUGGGCGGCGCGAGCCGACGGAAAGUGCCACAGAAAACAGACCGCCAAAGCGCCCUCCGGGGCGCCGGCAAGGGUGAAAAGGUGCGGUAAGAGCGCACCGCGCCGGUGGCAACACUCGGCGGCACGGUAAACCCCACCCGGAGCAAGACCAAAUAGGGGAGCAAUGGCGCGGCCCGCGCCGCUCCCGGGUAGGUCGCUCGAGGCGCACGGCGACGUGCGCCCCAGAUGAAUGGCUGUCCACGACAGAACCCGGCUUACAGGCCGACUCCCCCA